GUUGUCGUUUUGGCUUAUUUGUAUACUUUUACCCAAUUCCCAAUCUCAGUCUUCUCUCUAGAACAUCCCACAGAUGCCUCUCUCUCGGUACAAUCACUCUGUACUCCACCGGAGGCCUCUCUCUCUACCAGCACUCUUCUAGUACGUCCUCCCUCAUAGUCCGCAGGACGCCUCCCUUUCUCUCUCUAAUCACUCUUCCCUCAAGCUCAACAGAUCGUCCGGUUUGAUCAUAUGCAUCAGAUCUGUUCUCUUCUAGGGUAAACUUUGGCAGAUGAAGCUUGGGAGAAAAUACAAUUAAAGUUGCUCUCAGUUUCUUUCAUAUUCCAUUUUGCUCUCUCCUUGGAAAUCGAUUAACAGGUUCAAUCCCAAAGAAUUCGGAAACAUAACCAGACUCAGAAGCUUAGUCCUCGGGGACAAUCAGCUUUCUGGAGGUAUUCCUCUAGAGCAUGGGAAUCUUCCCAGCUUGGAGAAAAUGAUUAGCAACAACUUUAAAGGAAAGAUACCUAAUUUCAUCCAAAACUGGACAAAACUCCAAAACUUGAUGAUUCAGGCUAGUGGUUUGGAUGGGCCAAUUCCUUCUGGAAUUUCUCUCUUGGAAAAUUUGUCUGACUUGAGAUUCAGUGACUUGAGUGGAAGUGAAACAGCUUUUCCACCUCUUAGUAAUAUGAAAAGCCUGAAGACACUGAUAUUAAGGAGUUGCAAUAUUAUGGGACAGAUACCUGAUUAUCUUGGAACAAUGACAAAUUUGAAAACCUUGUUAGUUCUUUUCCAUUCUCCAUUUUCAUGUGUCUCAUUUUCUUAAAAAGCGUUUUGAUCACAUACUUAUCUCUUGUUUGAUAGCUCAAAAGCUUACUAAAACUGUAGUCGAAUUUAAAUAUAUAUUCUCUAUAUUUUUGUUGUCUUCCUUGUGUUAUUGAACAUAUAGGCACCUUUAAAACAAUUGAGUGAUGUUAUAUAGUAUUAUUAAAUGAAAUGUUUCCUAUUAUAUAUGUGCUUUAGUUUGAUGAACUUUUAGCACAAUAAAAAAUAAUAUGGCGAGUGGACUUGUGUAUUUAUUAAAUAAGUUUAAGUUUACUCAACUAUCUUUAUUCUUUAAUUUUACAUAUUUAAGCAAAACUCUUAGUACUUCUUUCAAGAAAAAGAGUUGUUUAUACUUUCGUCUACUUGACAAUUGCUUCAACAUUAGACAAUACAAUGUUAUCUUGGAGCCUUCAUUUAUAUUUUUCUUUGCUGGUCCCUUCAGUUCUUAAUGUUUAAGUUCUGUUUAUAUUUCACUUAAAUUUGAUCUUGUUCCAUGUUUUUAAAAAAAAAAAUUUGGAUCAAAAUUUAUUGCUUCGAUGAGUCACAUUAUUGGCAAUUUUUGGAGUACCAGCACUUCUACAAUUUACCUUGUGAAAUUUUUUAUAUGAUCCAGAUGUUUGAUUCAUCUUUAUGUGUAUCUUAUCUUUCUUCUCAAUGAGACCAGAUUUAUAUAGCAUCAUUCUCCAUUGGAAUGGUAGUAGUUCCUCAUUUUUAAGUACUUCUCAUUAGAAUGGUAGCAGUUGCUCAUUUUUAAGUAAUUCUUUGUACCCUUUGACUAUGGAUCUAACAAUAUCCACUUUCUCUCUCUACACAACUAUUCAAUUUGUAAUGAGACUAUAUUGGUCUUUGCUUGUUAAGCACCAAAGCACAAGGACAAGGACAUAUGUUUUUAUUCCUCAAGUGAAUGAGAUUGCUUAUUGAAAGAGACAAAGUGGAUUUUGAGGUAAGAUCCCUAUGUUUGCAUAUGUUUCUUCUCUCCCCCUUUUUCUCUCUCUAUAUAUGUAUAUUUAGAUCUAUAUUGUGUUGUUUCUUGAAUUUUUCUACUGGUUAAUUUUUAUACACAACUAUUCAAUUUGAUUUGGUUUUUAAAAAAUAAUUGGAGGCAACAAUCCUACAUUUAAAGAGAAAUUCGUGUUUACUCUGAUUUGAGGGCUUGGAGAGUUGAAUAUUGUGAUCUGGAAUAGCAAUAUUAUCUCUCUGGCUAUGAUGACAACCUUCACUACUUCAGAUGGACAGAUAUAUGUUCUCGACUAAAGAUCAUUACUUCAUGAUUAACUCAGGUUUGGUGAAUUUUGAUUACUUCUGUCAAAUUCAUAAGAUCCUAAAUUAAAUAAAUGAUGAGGUUGUGUUUAUUUGUAAAUCAAUUGGGGGACUUUAUCUUAAUUUGGUUAUUUUCCAGCUGUAAAAAUGGAUUGUUGCAGUUCUUUUCAUGGUUCUUGUCUAUGCCAGCGAGUCAAUAAGGAUCUACCUAUUUAGAAAUAUACUUAUGUCUUCUUUAACAAUUUUGAUGUAAAAGGACACUACAGGUUGCAUUAUUACAUUAUAUAUUGGGGAUGGUUUGGUCAAUUAUCUCUGGAAGAUUACAAAAUUAUCACUUACUGCAAUUAGUUGGGGUGGAGGCUUUUUUUUUUUUUUUAUAGUUAAUUUAAGUGUCAUUUAUUGUAUUUCUAAUUCAUGUUUACAAUGUCAAUCAGUGAAGUAUGAGCCAUCUUCUAGCAGUGUUUUUGGACCCAAUGUUAUUUACAACUCCAAGAAUCAAGGUGAUUUAGGUUCCCGUGGACAGUUGCAUAUGUUGUCUACAUCAGUUCUUCUACCUGAGUGACCUGAUCAACCUGAAUGUCGAUAUUUCAUUAGCACUGGGAGAUGCAAAUAUGGGUUUGAUUGCAAGUAUAAUCAUCUUAUGAAGGGAAGCUCAGUUGUUCAUCUUUCAGCGGCAGUUAGCACCACAACCACAACCACCUGAAUGACCAAUAGAUUGUCUUCUCUUUAGUCAAUUGAAUAUAAAAGACAUUUGAGCAUUCUAGCUGAAUAUUUAGUUAAUAUCGUGUAAUCUUUUUGGUUAAUGGAUUAUUUGAGUUGGUAUGUUUUGUUGAAUAUUUGGCUAAUUUUACUGUGUUGUAAACAUUUUAUUAUGAUAAUUAAUGGUUUAUUUCCGUCUCU